CUGACCGAUAGUGAACCAGUACCGUGAGGGAAAGGCGAAAAGAACCCCGGCGAGGGGAGUGAAAAAGAACCUGAAACCGUGUACGUACAAGCAGUGGGAGCCCCACCACUAAGCCAGUGGUGAACUCCACAUCCGCAUCCUUUGCUGAGGAUACGGUUAACGGAGCGAAAGCGACGUUCAACCGCAAAACAAGCAGAGGGGGCUUAGUGGUGGGGUGACUGCGUACCUUUUGUAUAAUGGGUCAGCGACUUAUAUUCUGUAGCAAGGUUAACCGAAUAGGGGAGCCGGAGGGAAACCGAGUCUUAAUUGGGCGUUAAGUUGCAGGGUAUAGACCCGAAACCCGGUGAUCUAGCCAUGGGCAGGUUGAAGGUUGGGUAACACUAACUGGAGGACCGAACCGACUAAUGUUGAAAAAUUAGCGGAUGACCUGUAGCUGGGGGUGAAAGGCCAAUCAAACCGGGAGAUAGCUGGUUCUCCCCGAAAGCUAUUUAGGUAGCGCCUCGUGAAUUCAUCUCCGGGGGUAGAGCACUGUUUCGGCUAGGGGGCCAUCCCGGCUUACCAACCCGAUGCAAACUGCGAAUACCGGAGAAUGUUAUCACGGGAGACACACGGCGGGUGCUAACGUCCGUCGUGAAGAGGGAAACAACCCAGACCGCCAGCUAAGGUCCCAAAGUCAUGGUUAAGUGGGAAACGAUGUGGGAAGGCCCAGACAGCCAGGAUGUUGGCUUAGAAGCAGCCAUCAUUUAAAGAAAGCGUAAUAGCUCACUGGUCGAGUCGGCCUGCGCGGAAGAUGUAACGGGGCUAAACCAU
rnacentral:rRNA from 1 species